AACGGAGGGGGCGAGUGUUACUCAUAAUGACUGGGCGUAAAGGGUACGUAGACGGCUUGAUAACUGGUUUGUAAAAAUAGAAGGUUAAUACUUUCUCCUGUUUUCCAAAGUGUUAAGCUCGAGUUUUGUUAAGGGUAAUGGUACUUUUAAGGAAUGAGGUGAUAUUCGACGAUAUUAAAAGGACCAUCAAAGGCGAAAGGCGA
rnacentral:rRNA from 1 species